CUAACUCAUUCCAUUUUUCUUCUGUCACCCAAGGUGUGGUAAGAAUUCACCUCUACGCCGCGUUGUUCGUUUCCCAGGUGAGGAAACCUUUUGUUUUGUUUUUUUAAAUGCUUUUUAUUGAUUUUUCAUUUCACAUAAACAAACCAAAUACAAUAAUGCUCCAUAAUCAUAUACCCACUUUCUUUCUCAACACUCUGCCGAGCACUGACUUCCCUCCCUCCCUCCUCCAGCAGGUUCUCUUACUCCAAUUCCCUCUCCACAGUUUCUUAAUAAUUUCCCAACCACGUCAUAAGAUUUAUUUCAGUCCUACUAGAGUCUUCAGACUUCUACAGUUAUUACUUAUAUACUCCACAAAUUUGCUCCACUCUCUUCGGAACUUUGUUUCCUCCUGGUUGCGGAUCCUGUAGGUCAGUUUUGCUAAUUCCGCUAAUUUGACCAUCUUCAUCUGCCACUCCUCCACUGUUGCUAGUUCCUGUACUUUCCAUUUUGGGGCUAACAAGGUUCUAGUAGCAGUCGUAGCAUACAUAAAUAACCUUUGUCUAUUUUUUCCAUUUCCUCUCCCAUCAAGCCGGAACAACCACUUUUUGAAUAAACUACAGAACCAAGGAAACUAUUUCCAAGUCCAGCGUCCAGAUUUAGGGACCCAGCAUUUAUUAUAGCUAUGGCAAUAGGGCAGAGCUCACUCAACGUGCCAGUUGAGAAAAGUUGAUAUACCGUAUUUUUCGCUCUAUAAGACGCACCAGUCCAUAAGAUUCACCUAGUUUUUGGAAGAGGAAAACAGAAAUUAAAAAAUUCGGAAUCCCAUAAGCCAGGACAGCCAGCGGGAUCGCUCCUUACAGAGCUCCACAGAGAACUUCAUGAAAAGCUUCUAGCCAUCUUCAUUCAGGGCCAUAGAACAGCCUAUCGGAAUGUGAGCAAUAUUUCUACAUCUGCCUUGAUUAUCUUCAAUAAAUCUAUGUAUGAGAGCUUUGUGGAGAGAGGAAUCUGCAGACAGAACACCUGCUAUGUUAUUCUGUGGAAUGUGUGUGUGUGCUUGAAUACCCCGAAACGUAAAGGAGCGAUAGAACCAGCAAUUUCCCAAUACCUGUGGAUAUUUCAGUCGUUUUCAGAAGAAAUUGGGCCACCGUCUCUGAGCACUGCAUGGACUCAGCAUUUAUCACUUCCUAUAAAAAGAAAAGCAGAAAAGAGAAGGGUCUCUCACCCCAAAUGAGGCCAGGGUAAAAGCAACUGCAAUAUUUUAAGACAGAAUAUUUAUUGAUUUAUUUCAUAACAUUUAUGUACCACUAAAUUGUAAAAAAACCCCACAAAGCAGUUGACAAAGAAAAGAAAACAAAAAGAUUGUAAAACUGCAAAGCCCCCCAUUUUUUUUUUAAAUAUUCAAGCAUAAAACCAGUAAAACUAAAAACUAGACGAAAACACACAAGCGUUUGAAAUAUCUGGGCUGGUUUGUUUAAAAAAAGUUAAAAUUUUUCAGCAUGCAUUGAAAAGGGUACUGUUAUGUACUGAGUUGAAAGGAUUCAAAAUGCAGCAGUCUGUUGGUCCAAGAACAAUAGGAUCCAGAAUGCAGCAGUCUGAUUGGUCCACAGGAGCCACCCAACCAGCUCCAGGUGGAAGUGAAUCCGCAACCUGACUGGCCUACAGGAGAAUCCUGGAAUUAGCCAAUCACAUGGGGCCCAUUGUGUAAAUAAUGUAUAUAAAGCAGACAUUCUGGGGGAACUUCCAUUCCUCCUCACUACUAUGAGCUGAAUAAAGAACAUGAAAUCCACUCUCGACUCUCAGGUAAGUUAUAUAUAUAUAACUUUCCCGACAUCCACGACAGCUGUGUCCACACUAGGGCAUAAAUACCCACUCCUGUGGGUCACGGCUUCCGCUGGGC